GAGAGGCCCUCCCUAGCUCUCCCCCCAUCCCAGCUUCUUGCUGGUCCUGGUGUUUAAAACAGUUUUCUUGCAGUGGAAAAUUCUGAGACCAUUUUUCUACUUGCAACAUCGGAAGACUUGUUUGCCUGUGGAAUCUUUCUGCUUGGUAAAAACAUCUUCUUUGAGGGCUCCAGCCUGCCUGGGCAGUCAGGGGCUGCCCCCCUCCCUGGAAUGGCACUGUACUUUCACCAGGAGAGGAGUGCACAUCUUGCUGGGAUUAGUGCUGAGAUUCAGGCAGCAUGAAAAGUUCAGGACUGAUGCCAAUAGCGAGGAGCAGCUGAGAACAGUCUGAUGCAACCAGAGUGAAGGGUGGUCUCCAAGCAGACUGAAGGCUCUGCUGGGUACAAGGGCAAUGGUUGCCUUGUGCUCAUCAAGAGAUUCUGGAAGUUCCUCCUGGAACACUGGCAGUGAUACAUUGAAUCUGGGAGCUGUGAAGCGACAGAG